UACGUAGGAGGCGAGCGUUGUCCGGAAUUACUGGGCGUAAAGAGCGCGUAGGCGGCCCUGUACGACCGUGGUGAAAGCCCCCGGCUCAACUGGGGAGGGUCCAUGGUAACGGCAGAGCUAGGAGUCCAGGAGAGGGGCGUGGAACUCCGGGAGUAGCGGUGAAAUGCGUAGAGACCCGGAGGAACACCAGUGGCGAAGACGGCGUCCUGGCCUGCGACUGACGCUGAGGCGCGAAAGCGUGGGGAGCAAACAGG
rnacentral:rRNA from 1 species